CGGCCGCAGAGUUUGAUCAUGGCUCAGGACGAACGCUGGCGGCGUGCCUAAUACAUGCAAGUCGAGCGAAUCUGAGGGAGCUUGCUCCCAAAGAUUAGCGGCGGACGGGUGAGUAACACGUGGGCAACCUGCCUGUAAGACUGGGAUAACUUCGGGAAACCGGAGCUAAUACCGGAUAAUUCUUACCAACACAUGUUGGUAAGCUAAAAGACGGCGCAAGCUGUCACUUACAGAUGGGCCCGCGGCGCAUUAGCUAGUUGGUAAGGUAAUGGCUUACCAAGGCAACGAUGCGUAGCCGACCUGAGAGGGUGAUCGGCCACACUGGGACUGAGACACGGCCCAGACUCCUACGGGAGGCAGCAGUAGGGAAUCUUCCGCAAUGGACGAAAGUCUGACGGAGCAACGCCGCGUGAGUGAUGAAGGUUUUCGGAUCGUAAAACUCUGUUGUUAGGGAAGAACAAGUACGAGAGUAACUGCUCGUACCUUGACGGUACCUAACCAGAAAGCCACGGCUAACUACGUGCCAGCAGCCGCGGUAAUACGUAGGUGGCAAGCGUUGUCCGGAAUUAUUGGGCGUAAAGCGCGCGCAGGCGGUCCUUUAAGUCUGAUGUGAAAGCCCACGGCUCAACCGUGGAGGGUCAUUGGAAACUGGGGGACUUGAGUGCAGGAGAGAAGAGUGGAAUUCCUCGUGUAGCGG
rnacentral:rRNA from 1 species